GUGCUCACUUCGGCAGCACUUAUACUAAAAUUGGAAAGAUACAGAGAAGAUUCGCAAGGCCCCUACGCAAGAAUGAUGCACAAAAUCGUGAAGCAUUCCAUAUUUAA